rnacentral:rRNA from 1 species
AGAGUUUGAUCAUGGCUCAGGAUGAACGCUGGCGGCGUGCUUAACACAUGCAAGUCGAACGAUGAUCCCAGCUUGCUGGGGGAUUAGUGGCGAACGGGUGAGUAACACGUGAGUAACCUGCCCUUAACUCUGGGAUAAGCCUGGGAAACUGGGUCUAAUACCGGAUAUGACUCCUCAUCGCAUGGUGGGGGGUGGAAAGCUUUAUUGUGGUUUUGGAUGGACUCGCGGCCUAUCAGCUUGUUGGUGAGGUAAUGGCUCACCAAGGCGACGACGGGUAGCCGGCCUGAGAGGGUGACCGGCCACACUGGGACUGAGACACGGCCCAGACUCCUACGGGAGGCAGCAGUGGGGAAUAUUGCACAAUGGGCGAAAGCCUGAUGCAGCGACGCCGCGUGAGGGAUGACGGCCUUCGGGUUGUAAACCUCUUUCAGUAGGGAAGAAGCGAAAGUGACGGUACCUGCAGAAGAAGCGCCGGCUAACUACGUGCCAGCAGCCGCGGUAAUACGUAGGGCGCAAGCGUUAUCCGGAAUUAUUGGGCGUAAAGAGCUCGUAGGCGGUUUGUCGCGUCUGCCGUGAAAGUUCGGGGCUCAACUCCGGAUCUGCGGUGAGUACGGGCAGACUAGAGUGAUGUAGGGGAGACUGGAAUUCCUGGUGUAGCGGUGAAAUGCGCAGAUAUCAGGAGGAACACCGAUGGCGAAGGCAGGUCUCUGGGCAUUAACUGACGCUGAGGAGCGAAAGCAUGGGGAGCGAACAGGAUUAGAUACCCUGGUAGUCCAUGCCGUAAACGUUGGGCACUAGGUGUGGGGGACAUUCCACGUUUUCCGCGCCGUAGCUAACGCAUUAAGUGCCCCGCCUGGGGAGUACGGCCGCAAGGCUAAAACUCAAAGGAAUUGACGGGGGCCCGCACAAGCGGCGGAGCAUGCGGAUUAAUUCGAUGCAACGCGAAGAACCUUACCAAAGGCUUGACAUGAACCGGGAAACACCUGGAAACAGGUGCCCGCUUGCGGUCGGUUUACAGGUGGUGCAUGGUUGUCGUCAGCUCGUGUCGUGAGAUGUUGGGGUAAGUCCCCGCACGAGGCGCAACCCUCGUUCUAUGUUGCCAGCCGCGAUAUGGCGGGGACUCAUAGGAGAACUGCCGGGUCCACCUCGGGAGGGAAGGGUGGGGGACG